rnacentral:lncRNA from 1 species
UUUUUGCUUAUAAUCUCCUAGUCUCUGUUGUGAGUAAAUUGUGUUUUAAGUUCAUCUUCAGUGGCAUAUUCCAACGUUGUAGGUGGACUAAAAUGUUCAUUUAACAAAUUGCUAUAUGCCAGUAUUCUGUUUUAAGUUCUAUUAAAACUUAUUAAACUCUAUUGAGAGAAAUUGUACUUCGAGAAUUUUUAAAGCUGUCUUGGAUACUUAAUUCCUGAUCUAAUUUAAAAUCCACAUUUUUGGAGUUCCCCUCGUGGCGCAGUAGUUAAUGAAUCCGACUAGGAACCAUGAGGUUGCGGGUUCAGUCCCUGCCCUUGCUCAGUGGGUUAAUGAUCCGGCAUUGCCAUGAGCUGUGGUGUAGGUUGCAGAUGCGGCUUGGAUCCUGCGUUGCUGUGGCUCUGGCGUGGGCUGGCAGCUACAGCUCUGUUUGGACCCCUAGCCUGAGAACCUCCAUAUGCCGCGGGAGCAGCCCAAAGAAAUAGCAAAAAGACAAAAAAAAAACAAAAAAAACCACAUUUUCAUCCUAAACUUAAUAAGCUUAGAAAAUAGUUUUUCCUUAGCUGUAUGAAAAGACAUAUACAUUUUACCAUAAACAAUUAUUUCUUUAUCUUAAUUACAUAGAAAUAGAAUACUUCCAAUGUUCAGAAUAUGUGCUCAAGAAUUAUGAAAUGAUUAUGUUUACCUGUUAGUGAUAUUCACUUGACAGUUUUUUGUAGUGGUAACAAAUUUAGAAAUGUUGUCUUUAUGACUGAAAUUGAGAGCGUAGGCCCUAGCCAAUAUAUUUGAUUGACAAAAAGUCAUUUAUCAAACAGGUUCACAAUGUAGAAUUAAAGAACUAGUAUACCUUAAAAAUACUUUGAUUUGAUAGAUAAAAAAAUUUUUAAUAGAAAAAAUUAUAUUAAUAGGAGUUAUUUUUCUUUCCUUCAAAGGGUCGUUUAUAUAAGUAAAUGGUUCAGUGUUGUAAAAAUUAAGGUUAGUAUCAGCAGAAAAGCAAGAUAUUUAAAUACGUUCAUAUACAUGUGUUAUGUAACAUUAGAAAAGGAGAAUUAAAACCCAUUAACAAUAAAUACAUGCUUCUUUAUCAACUGCUAAAAUAAUAAUAUCUUUAUCAACUGCUAAAAUAAUAAUAUAUGAAAUCUCUCCUGGUGUCUAAUUUAGCUCCAGUUAUAAUGAAUAAACAUCGAGUUAAACAAAACACAUGUUUUAAGAUGGUGCUUAAUGCUAGUAAUCCAGUCUGGUAUAACACCAAAAGCAGAGAGGGCUAAAUAGGAAUUUCAUUUUUUAUGCUCUGUUUACCAUUUUAUUGUCAACUCUGAUCAUUAAAAUGAUCUAUCUUGACUAGUUAGUACAUGAAAGUGAAUCUUAAUAGAGUUGAAUUUAAUCAGUAUAUCAUAUUUGUUCCUUUUCCAGAAAGAAUAAAUAUGUUGAUUUAUUGCUACCUAGAAUGAAGAUUAAUUUAUAUUUCUUUUUAAUUAUAUAUCUCUAAUUAAUUUGCUUUUGAGAGCUGUUUUAUGAUACAGAAACAUUUUGUUACUUAAACACUUUGCAUUUUUACCGAAAACUUUUGCAUCUGUGUUCCAUUUUUUCCCUAAGCAAAGUGUAUUAUUUUUCAGAGAUCUUGCCUUAAAAUGAAUUGUAUCUACAACAUUCCCACACUGAACUAGUCUAAUAAUUAGUGUGAGCUUGGCGUUUGUUAGAUAUUAUUGAAUAUAUGAGUAAGUAUACCAUAUAAAUUCUGCAUACAUAAGUAAAGGGAAAAUAAGCUAUUUAAAUAAUAUGUAUUAAAGUAUUGUUAUUUCAAAAUUUGCUCUGAUUCUUAAGCAUCAUUAAAAUUGCCUAGAGAACUAAAAGAGAUUAGAAAUGGAUUCACUUUAGGAAAGUGUUCAAGCUAUUGUCUCAGCUGGAUCAAGCACCCAAUUCUUUUUUUUUUUUUUUUUUUUUUUUUUUUCAAGGCUGCACGUGUGGCACAUGGAGGUUCCUAGGGUAGGGGUUGAAUCACAGCUACAGCUGCUGGCCUACACCACAGCUCACAGCAACGCCAGAUUCUUAACCUACUAAGCGAGUCCAGGGACUGAACCCUCAACCUCAUGGUUCCUGGUCGGAUUUGUUUCUGCUGCACCACAACGGGAACUCCAAGCAUCCAAUUCUUGAUUACUGCCAGUCUUAGAAUUCUGAAUUCAUUAAACCAAUAUGGUAGCAAAGUGACCUUAAGCUUCCCAGUAGAGUUUAGAAGGAAUUAAAACAAAGAAAGAAGAACGGUUUCAUUCAAUGUUUAUUCAACGUGGAGUUUCUCACAUAUACCUGUCUUACACUCUGGGGAAAAAUGAUGAACACAAAUAGUCCCUCUUCUUUUACUUCAUGGAACUUGGACCUCCAGUAUUAGACAGGCACUAAUCCAAACCGUUAACAAAAGCAAAUCUAGCAUUGCUUCUGUUAUAAGAGCUUUACAAGAAAAGAGCUUUGUGCUAUGAGAACAGUGAUAGUAUUUGCUAUUGCAGGAACAUCUUGAAAUUCUGUUGAAAAUACACUUUAGAUAAUAGCCGAUGGAUAAGUAGGAGUUAAGAUAGAGUGAAAGAUUGCUGUGUGGAAUGAAGCAUCAUUGAAUAUCCCAUAUCAGAUAGUGAGGGUGGUUUAUUUGAGAAACUUGAAAAAGACAUACAUACUGAUUUAAAUAAAGAGGUUGGUUUAAUAUGCAAUCCUCAAAAUAGGUUAAGAACCAGAUAUGUGAAACUGUUCACAUACUAUAUAGAGCUUUACUUUUCCCUUAAAGCAAUGUGUUCUGAAUGAUUAUAGGCAAGCUUAUGAAACCACUAUAUUUGUGGGUUUUUUUAUUUGUGUUUUUAAAAGUUUUUUCUUACAAUGAAACAAAGAAUCGAAGAUAUUCAAAGUGUAUGUGAGUUUGCUAUUAUAUAUAAGAUUACUGCAGUAAUUCAGACCUGUAAUGACGGAAGUUUAAAUUUGCUUAGAGAUAGAUAUUCAAGAUGGAGAGAAGACCAUGAUUUCUGGGAUAGUGGUGGUUAUUAUGACUCUGGGAUAACUAGAACUAGAGAGUAAAGGUGGAAAAUGUGUUAGGAUGAUUUUCAUCAUUACCUAUGGAUAGCAGUUCCUGUUACCUGAAACAGUCAAUGCUGAAAGAGGGCUAAUUUGAAUUUACUAUGUUAUAAACACUUUGACUUGUCUUAAUUAAAAUAAGUCAAAAUUAACACUAACUUCUCUUAAAAUAAGUUUGAAGGUGGAAAAAGUAGUGCUUUUUGUAGAAGGAUGCAGAAAAUUCUGACACAUUUCUUGAUUUUAUUCCAUGUUUCCAUGUACAUCAUUCUUUAGGUUUCAAGGAAGAAAGCUAUUUUUACUUCUAAAAGGAUGUGGAAAAAAGGUAUCUAGAUCUAACGGCUGGAAUGCAAAAAGAAAACAAAACUAAUAAACUUAAGCAAAUAAUACUUAAAUUUUACUUUAAAUAUUGCUGUUUUGCUUAAAAUUGUGAAACCAAAUGCAGUAGUCUCUUCAUUUUGUUGGAGUCUGUGGAAUUCUGGGACAUAGGUUUGCUCCCUGGCCUGCAUAGUGGGUUAAGGAUCUGGUGUUGCAACAGCUGCAGUGUAGGUUGCAACUGCAUCUCCUGGCCAAGGAAAUUCCAUAGGCAAUGGGGGUGCCCCCCCAAAAAAAUUAGUAAACUAAAAUAUUCCUUAUGACUGUCAAAGUCAUGUUCAAAAAGUGUUGACCAGAAUGAAUGAAGACUUUGAUUUCAACAUAUUUUUGGUAGUUGGUGCAUGUGUAUUUUUGCGUGUAUGUGUAUAUGUUUAAAGUCCUUAAUUGGGUUAAAAUUUUUCCUUUCUAGUUUUUUUCUUGAACUUGAAACAGCAUUUUUUUCACCAUUCCCAUGGAAUAAUUGUCCACUUACAUUUAGUGAUUUGUGUUACAUUUGAAUUUAUUUCUGUAAUCAUAUGAUAUGCUUGCCCUUCCUUCCUUUCUUCCUCCCUUCUUUCUCUCUCUCUCCCUCUCUCUCCCUCCCACCUCUCCCUUCUUUCUUUCUUUGGGCUUUCUAGGGCCACACCUGUGGCAUAUGGAGGUUCCCAGGCUAGGGGUUGAAUUGGAGCUGCAGCUACUGGCUUAUGUCACAGCCACAGCAACGGAGGAUCCAGGCCCCGUCUGCGACUUCCACCGCAACUCACUGCAGCGCUGGAUCCUUAACCCACUGAGCAAGGCCAGGAAUGGAACCCACAUCCUCAUUGAUACUAGUUGAGCUCCUUACUUCUGAGCCACAAAGGGAUCUUCCAGUUUCUUUGUUACACUUUUUUUGGUCCUUCUACUUCCUCUUGCUUUUGUUUUGAGUUGAAUGCAUUUUUUAAAUUUACUUUCAUAUUAUUUAUCUAAUUUUUCAGAAGUUAUGUAUUUAUUUUAUUGAUUUGUUGCUUUUUCUAGGUACAUUAUGCCUUGAUUUACUUAUUACAUCCAAAUGUAACUAAUACCUUUUCUUCAUCUCAAAUUAUAAAAGGGUAUUAGAGACAUUUAACUUUGCCCUUUAACCCUCAUCUUGGCCCCAUCUACACUGUCUGUUAUUGCUGUCUAGGAUUUAAGAUCUAACCUGCCCCUCCAAACUAAAUAUGAGUAUUACUUCAUAAAACAAAUUAUUGUUUAAUUUAUUUACAUACAUUUUGCUGUCUACCUUAAGAUUUCUUCUUGCAUUUAAUACCUUAACUUAUGGCCAAUUUUUCUCUUCCUAAAAAAUAAUUUUUUUGAGGGGAUAUGCGACAUGGAAGUUCCCAGGCCAGGGAUAGAAUUCUGUUUGCAGCUGCAAGAACACAAUGUUGGAUUCUUAACUUGCUGUGCCAAGGGGGAAGUCCAAAAAAAUACUUCCUAAAGAUUACUUUAGUGAGUAUAUUUGUGUGAUGAAACUCUAGUUUUCCUGAAAAUAUCUUUAUAAUUAAAUCAUUCACACAGAUAAUUUCAUUAAGUAAAGAUUAUUGGUUAGCAGUUAUUUAUCUCCUCUCAUUAAGGAUAUUUCUUCAAUAUUUUAUACCUUCUGUUGUUCCUAUUGACAGUUCACUGGACAGUUUAAUUACUUUCUCUUUGAAACUGCUUUAUGUUUUCUUAUUGGCUAUUUAAAAAAUUAUCAAAGUAUAGUUGAUUUACAAUGUUGUGCCUUUUUCUGCUGUAGAGCAGAGUGACUCAGUCAUACAUAUAUGCAUUUUCUAAAAUAUAUUCCAUCUUAUUGGCUUUUUUAAAUGUUCUUUGCCUCUGCUUUUCUGCUAUUUUAUGGUGGUAUGUCUGGACAUGGAUUUCUCAUUAAUUAUUCUCAUUGGGAAUGGAUGACUCCCAGAUAUGAUUAAUAUCUUUCAAAAUUUCUGGAAAAUAUUCAGCUCUUUCAAUAGCACCUUCUUAUUGCCAUUCAGAACUCUGAUUAGAUGUACGUCAAGACUUUUCACUAUUUCUUCAAUGUAAUGUGGGCAUGUAUAGGCAGAAAUAGAAUUUCUUUGGGUCAUUUUUCCAGUUCACUUACUCUUUCAUGAGUUAUAUAUAAACUACUAUUUCAUCUAUCAAUUAAAAUAUCUAGUUAUAAUUGAAAGAUAUAGAAAUUGCAUUUAGUUAAUUUUUGCAAAUUUUUCUUUUAUUUCCCUAAUUAAAAAACUCUAUUUUUAUUACAUUUGUUUCCAAUAAUUGCAGUAGCUGAAAUCUUUGUGUGUCUUUCUGCUGUAAUCUGUGUUAAUUUUUAUGCAUGCUGUCUUCUCUAUUUGUGUGCUUGUGUGUGUGUAUGAAACUGUUUUUUGGGCGUUCUCAUUGUGGUACAGUGGGUUAAAGAUCUGGCGUUGCUGCAGCUGUGGUGCAGGUCACAG